CCUACGGGAGGCAGCAGUGAGGAAUAUUGGUCAAUGGACGAGAGUCUGAACCAGCCAAGUAGCGUGAAGGAUGACUGCCCUAUGGGUUGUAACCUUCUUUUAUAAAGGAAUAAAACGAGGCACGUGUGCCUUUUUGCAUUUAUUUUAUGAUUAAGGACCGGCUAACUCCGUGCCAGCAGCCGCGGUAAUACGGAGGAUCCGAGCGUUAUCCGGAUUUAUUGGGUUUAAAGGGAGCGUAGAUGGGUUGUUAAGUCAGUUGUGAAAGUUUGCGGCUCAACCGUAAAAUUGCAAUUGAUACUGGCAGUCUUGAGUACAGUUGAGGUAGGCGGAAUUCGUGGUGUAGCGGUGAAAUGCUUAGAUAUCACGAAGAACCCCGAUUGCGAAGGCAGCUUACUAAACUGUGACUGACAUUGAUGCUCGAAAGUGUGGGUAUCAAACAGGAUUAGAUACCCCAGUAGUC
rnacentral:rRNA from 1 species